AUGACAUCUGCCCCCCUGGCUUCUUCUGCCCCAAGAGAACAAGCUCUCCAGUGCCUUGUCCUCCUGGGUUUUACUCCUCUGUCCCGACGCUACUGCGCCGGCCAGGGCUGUCUAGCACCCUGGAGGUGGGACUUUGCAAUGCAGGGUCACUAUCGCCCAGCCAGAACAUCCUCUGCCCACCCCUGCCCAGAGGGAACCCUGAACCAGCAGGAGGGCACUAUCUCCCCCAGGGCCUGCCAGCCCUGCCCUGCAGGGAGGUACUGCCCGGGAGAAGGCAAUGGGCAGCCUGAUGGAAGGUUACUACUGCGAAGGAGUUACUUCUGCCAGCCCCGCACCCCAGAGAAACUUUGCCUUUCCCCUCAAUGGACCCUGCCCCGGAGGCCACUACUGCCAUCUGGAGAUGCUGUUCCUGGUGCCAUGCCCCCUGGGGACAAGGAGCAGCCCAGGGACGUAGUCUCCACCACAGUGUCCUCCAGAGACCUCCACUCUCCAGGAUGCAUCAGGUCUCCCGGAAGAGGGUGA
rnacentral:lncRNA from 13 species